GUGGGUAAAUUACCAUAACACAUACAAUCGCCGAAGUUAAGCAACGUCGAGUCUGGUCAGUACCUAGAUGGGGGACCGCUUGUGAAUUCCAGGUGCUGUAA